rnacentral:rRNA from 1 species
AUGCGUCAGUUUGGGGUGCUGGCUCGACCUUUGUUCAAUCUUUUGAAGAAGGGCUCUCCGUUCGUCUGGACUGACAACACCGAACAGAGCUUUCAGGUGCUCAAGCAGGGAUUGAUCUCGGCACCGGUGCUGGCACUACCCAAUUUUCAGAAACCAUUCACAGUCGAGACGGAUGCUUGUGACGUGGGCAUCGGUGCCAUCCUACAGCAAGAUGGGCAUCCAAUUGCAUUCAUGAGCAAAUCGCUGUCAGAAAUACCGCGGGCUGUCCACAUAUGA